GACGAACGCUGGCGGCGUGCUUAACACAUGCAAGUCGAACGGAAAGGCCCUGCUUUUGUGGGGUGCUCGAGUGGCGAACGGGUGAGUAACACGUGAGUAACCUGCCCUUGACUUUGGGAUAACUUCAGGAAACUGGGGCUAAUACCGGAUAGGAGCUCCUGCUGCAUGGUGGGGGUUGGAAAGUUUCGGCGGUUGGGGAUGGACUCGCGGCUUAUCAGCUUGUUGGUGGGGUAGUGGCUUACCAAGGCUUUGACGGGUAGCCGGCCUGAGAGGGUGACCGGCCACAUUGGGACUGAGAGACGGCCUAGACUCCUACGGGAGGCAGCAGUGGGGAAUAUUUCACAAUGGUCGGACGCCUCAUGCAGCAACUCCGCGUUCGCGAUGACGGCCUUCGGGUUGUAAACCGCUUUCGCCUGUGACGAAGCGUGAGUGACGGUAAUGGGUAAAGAAGCACCGGCUAACUACGUG
rnacentral:rRNA from 1 species